AAACUGAAAAUUGCUCUCUCGUGCAACCUGACCACAAUCAAAGGAGCGUGCUGCUCUGGUUACUUUUACCAGGUCACCUUUCAGCAGGACACUUUACCAGAAUCUGGUGUGGUCAGAGUGAAAACAUGAAGCCAGUGAUUCUUGCAGUUUUGGUUUUGGUGCUUGUCAGCCAGAGUGAAGCCCUGAAAUGUUACUGUGGCGGUGCCAUAUACUGUCCACAUCCUGUAGUUUCAUGCUCCAUAGACGACCAAGUCUGUGGCCACGUCGUCUACCACGAUCACCCUUCGCAUUUCAUCAAAGGCUGCUACCAUGCACCUGACUGCAGGAAGCUGAAUCAUCCUCCUCGUGUAACUGCCACUUGCUGCCGGACGAACCUUUGCAACUAAUUGUCAUCAAGCAAAAUAUCUUCUGAUGACGCAAUGGUCUGAAGCUGCAUUCCUUUCAAAAUAAAAUCCAAAUAAAAACUAA